rnacentral:tmRNA from 2 species
GGGGCUGACCGGUUUUGACAGCAAGCCGAUAGAUCAUGUAAGCAUGUCGAGCUAUUGGGUUGAUGCUCGCAAAUACAACAUCCAAUUUUUUUAACUGGCGAGCACAACUACGCUCUUGCCGCUUAAUUCUCGAUAGAGAGCUAAGCUUAUUCUACACUAGGUGCAGAAGCAAGACAUCCCUCAAGAUCCCCGUUCUACGGAGCUUGAUCAAGGGGUGUAGUAAGGUAGAACUAGGGUGAAGCAUGUCAUGGGCUGAUUCUGAAAACAUACAUGGCUAAGUGCUGGUUGGGUUGUCACUCAUCAGGCCUGCAUCGAAAACCAAUGAAUGACUAAGCAUGUAGAAGGCACGAUAUGUCCUUGCCUGGACGUGGGUUCGAUUCCCACCAGCUCCACCA